AGAGUUUGAUCCUGGCUCAGGAUGAACGCUAGCUACAGGCUUAACACAUGCAAGUCGAGGGGCAUCAGGAGGAAAGCUUGCUUUCUUUGCUGGCGACCGGCGCACGGGUGAGUAACACGUAUCCAACCUGCCCUUUACUCGGGGAUAGCCUUUCGAAAGAAAGAUUAAUACCCGAUGGCAUAAUGAUUCCGCAUGGUUUCAUUAUUAAAGGAUUCCGGUAAAGGAUGGGGAUGCGUUCCAUUAGGUUGUUGGUGAGGUAACGGCUCACCAAGCCUUCGAUGGAUAGGGGUUCUGAGAGGAAGGUCCCCCACAUUGGAACUGAGACACGGUCCAAACUCCUACGGGAGGCAGCAGUGAGGAAUAUUGGUCAAUGGGCGCUAGCCUGAACCAGCCAAGUAGCGUGAAGGAUGAAGGCUCUAUGGGUCGUAAACUUCUUUUAUAUAAGAAUAAAGUGCAGUAUGUAUACUGUUUUGUAUGUAUUAUAUGAAUAAGGAUCGGCUAACUCCGUGCCAGCAGCCGCGGUAAUACGGAGGAUCCGAGCGUUAUCCGGAUUUAUUGGGUUUAAAGGGAGCGUAGGUGGACUGGUAAGUCAGUUGUGAAAGUUUGCGGCUCAACCGUAAAAUUGCAGUUGAUACUGUCAGUCUUGAGUACAGUAGAGGUGGGCGGAAUUCGUGGUGUAGCGGUGAAAUGCUUAGAUAUCACGAAGAACUCCGAUUGCGAAGGCAGCUCACUGGACUGCAACUGACACUGAUGCUCGAAAGUGUGGGUAUCAAACAGGAUUAGAUACCCUGGUAGUCCACACAGUAAACGAUGAAUACUCGCUGUUUGCGAUAUACAGUAAGCGGCCAAGCGAAAGCAUUAAGUAUUCCACCUGGGGAGUACGCCGGCAACGGUGAAACUCAAAGGAAUUGACGGGGGCCCGCACAAGCGGAGGAACAUGUGGUUUAAUUCGAUGAUACGCGAGGAACCUUACCCGGGCUUAAAUUGCAGUGGAAUGAUGUGGAAACAUGUCAGUGAGCAAUCACCGCUGUGAAGGUGCUGCAUGGUUGUCGUCAGCUCGUGCCGUGAGGUGUCGGCUUAAGUGCCAUAACGAGCGCAACCCUUAUCUUUAGUUACUAACAGGUCAUGCUGAGGACUCUGGAGAGACUGCCGUCGUAAGAUGUGAGGAAGGUGGGGAUGACGUCAAAUCAGCACGGCCCUUACGUCCGGGGCUACACACGUGUUACAAUGGGGGGUACAGAAGGCAGCUAGCGGGUGACCGUAUGCUAAUCCCAAAAGCCUCUCUCAGUUCGGAUCGAAGUCUGCAACCCGACUUCGUGAAGCUGGAUUCGCUAGUAAUCGCGCAUCAGCCACGGCGCGGUGAAUACGUUCCCGGGCCUUGUACACACCGCCCGUCAAGCCAUGGGAGCCGGGGGUACCUGAAGUACGUAACCGCAAGGAUCGUCCUAGGGUAAAACUGGUGACUGGGGCUAAGUCGUAACAAGGUAGCC
rnacentral:rRNA from 1 species